AAAACGGUAAACCGCUGGCCAACUACUGACUAACUCGUUAGAGUCUGAACUUUAUAUAACCGGGACAUAACCGGUGUCAUACACCGAAUCAGAACAGCAUUGUAACCUUCAGAGACGUUUCUGGAAAGGCUUCGGAUACCGCCAACCAGUCACUGCCUCAGGAACCAACCGCCAUGAACAAGCUAACAUGCUCACUAACCGCCCGCCAGUAGAUUGGUUAACGAACCUGGUGCCGCCAGCAGGAGACUACAGGUGUGGCUCAUUGGUUCAUCAGCUGGGAAGCAUAAAGAGGAUGGAUUGCCAGCACUUCGUUGCCUGACUGCUUUGCCCUCCGUGGUGUGAUCUCUGGCUUAUCUGAUCCAGACCUCUGUUUGUAGUGCAGACUCCUUCCUGAACCUGGCAGACUGUGUUCCUCUCCUGAUUCUGUGCCUCUUCCUGGCGGGUUCCACGCCCCCCACACCAGAGAUGAUGGCAGAAGAGAUCAGACUCUCCACAACAGACCUAUAGAAGACAUGCAUCUUACAAACAUGAGAUUUCAGCAGCUGGAGCAGGUAUUUUGGCUCACAUCUCAUUAGUAAACUGCUCCGGCUGUCUCAGGUUUGACAGGUCCCUUCUUCCCACUCUGUUUCAGCUGAAACACGAGAAUUCAAGCCAACCUGUGCCAGAUGCAUCCUACAAACCUAUAACAGAAGUGAAUCUUAUGUUCAACAACAUAUCAGUUCUUCCUUGGAUGUCUGGGUGUUCGCCUGCAUGGGAGAAUUGAAGACUAAUUCAUCUGGAGAUAUUCCCACAAGGUGCAGAGAUGUUCGGAUGCAUUUAAAACAGCUGUGCUGCUUAACUAAAGGGGCUGAUUUGCUUACAUAGCAUGUGUUCAGAUUCUAUCCAGACUAUCUGAUGCAGUUUUCCAAAUCCAUGUGAAGAUAUUG